GUAUAAUGAUGAAACCCAUGCGUGUCAGCUGACACUGUAAGCCCCUGCUGUGGUGUAGCUGUGGUCGGCGUUCUGCUGGCUCGAGCUUUCAUGACAACAGAGGUCCAGAGGCAUGAUCAUACGUUCAUUACUUCUGAAUAC
ensembl:snoRNA SNORD10 small nucleolar RNA SNORD10